GAUGAAGAACGCAGCGAACGUGCGAAACGUAAUGUGAAUUGCAGAAUUCAGUGAAUCAUCGAAUCUUUGAACGCAUCUUGCGCUCCUUGGUACUCCGAGGAGCAUGCCUGUUUGAGUGUCGUGAAUACUCUCAACUUCAACCCUUUUUUCGGAAAGGGAGGAAGGUUGGACUUGGGUGUUUGUUGAAGUGCGAGCUUCGACUCAUCCUAAAUGCAUUAGCGAUCUGCCUCGAUCACACACAAUGUGAUAAUUAAAACUAAAGCAUUGUUUAAUGAUCAAGUCGAGACUGCUUCUAACUGUCGCAAGACAAUAACGUGCAUACAUUUGUGCAUGUCAUUUGACCUCAAAUCAGGUAGGACUACCCGCUGAACUUAAGCAUAUCAAUAAGCGGAGGA
rnacentral:misc_RNA from 1 species